rnacentral:rRNA from 1 species
UAAGAGUUGAUCCUGGCUCACAUUGAACUCUGGCGGCAGGCCUAACACAUGCAAGUCGAGCGGAUGACGGGAGCUUGCUCCUUGAUUCAGCGGCGGACGGGUGAGUAAUGCCUAGGAAUCUGCCUGGUAGUGGGGGACAACGUUUCGAAAGGAACGCUAAUACCGCAUACGUCCUACGGGAGAAAGCAGGGGACCUUCGGGCCUUGCGCUAUCAGAUGAGCCUAGGUCGGAUUAGCUAGUUGGUGAGGUAAUGGCUCACCAAGGCGACGAUCCGUAACUGGUCUGAGAGGAUGAUCAGUCACACUGGAACUGAGACACGGUCCAGACUCCUACGGGAGGCAGCAGUGGGGAAUAUUGGACAAUGGGCGAAAGCCUGAUCCAGCCAUGCCGCGUGUGUGAAGAAGGUCUUCGGAUUGUAAAGCACUUUAAGUUGGGAGGAAGGGCAGUAAGUUAAUACCUUGCUGUUUUGACGUUACCGAC